rnacentral:rRNA from 1 species
AACGAACGCUGGCGGCAUGCCUAACACAUGCAAGUCGAACGAGACCUUCGGGUCUAGUGGCGCACGGGUGCGUAACGCGUGGGAACCUGCCCUUAGGUUCGGAAUAACUCCCCGAAAGGGGUGCUAAUACCGGAUAAUGUCUUCGGACCAAAGAUUUAUCGCCUUUGGAUGUGCCCGCGUUGGAUUAGCUAGUUGGUAGGGUAAAAGCCUACCAAGGCGACGAUCCAUAGCUGGUCUGAGAGGAUGAUCAGCCACACUGGGACUGAGACACGGCCCAGACUCCUACGGGAGGCAGCAGUGGGGAAUAUUGGAAAAUGGGCGAAAGCCUGAUCCAGCAAUGCCGCGUGAGUGAUGAAGGCCUUAGGGUUGUAAAGCUCUUUUACCCGGGAUGAUAAUGACAGUACCGGGAGAAUAAGCUCCGGCUAACUCCGUG